GACAAUGUUAUGUGCACUAGAUAGUUUUUUAAACUUAAUUGAUUUAUCUUUUUGUUUUUAUAAUUUAGAAAUUUUUAAAUAUUUUUUUUUUACUUUUUUGAAGCUACUAGGUAACAGUGCGUAUAGCCCGAUAACAAUACAAAAACCGAUACCGAGUCCGAAACAUAGACGGCUUGAAGCAUGUUAAACGUAACGUACCCUCCUUUUUAUGAUGCCUAGAGUCUAAAUUGUUCUCUGGACUCCUUUGAUUUGCCAUUUUUGGUGAUAAAUUCUAUAAAUGAUCUCUUGACGCCUUUGAUUUGUAUUUGUCUGUACCAACUUUGGUGGUUAUUGAGCUGAUACUGAUUUGCUUCUACUCUCUAAUCAAGGUGGAGAAUGUACAAGUUUACCAGAGCAUCAGAG
rnacentral:lncRNA from 1 species